rnacentral:rRNA from 1 species
UGCGUAGGUGGCGCCGUAAGUCGGGUGUGAAAUUUCGGAGCUUAACUCCGAAACUGCAUUCGAUACUGCGGUGCUUGAGGACUGGAGAGGAGACUGGAAUUCAUGGUGUAGCAGUGAAAUGCGUAGAGAUCAUGAGGAAGACCAGUGGCGAAGGCGGGUCUCUGGACAGUUCCCUGACACUGAGGCACGAAGGCCAGGGGAGCAAACG